rnacentral:rRNA from 1 species
GUACACUCCUACGGGAGGCAGCAGUGGGGAAUAUUGCACAAUGGGCGCAAGCCUGAUGCAGCCAUGCCGCGUGUAUGAAGAAGGCCUUCGGGUUGUAAAGUACUUUCAGCGGGGAGGAAGGCGAUAAGGUUAAUAACCUUGUCGAUUGACGUUACCCGCAGAAGAAGCACCGGCUAACUCCGUGCCAGCAGCCGCGGUAAUACGGAGGGUGCAAGCGUUAAUCGGAAUUACUGGGCGUAAAGCGCACGCAGGCGGUCUGUCAAGUCGGAUGUGAAAUCCCCGGGCUCAACCUGGGAACUGCAUUCGAAACUGGCAGGCUAGAGUCUUGUAGAGGGGGGUAGAAUUCCAGGUGUAGCGGUGAAAUGCGUAGAGAUCUGGAGGAAUACCGGUGGCGAAGGCGGCCCCCUGGACAAAGACUGACGCUCAGGUGCGAAAGCGUGGGGAGCAAACAGGAUUAGAUACCCUAGUAGUCCCAUGA